UACCAUCUAUACCUUGGAAGAAAGUUGUGGCUAUCACAGUAAAACAAACUUAUUUCUUUGUCCUUAUCAAAUGGAUGUAUUUUACUUAUCAAAUGGGAGUAGCAUCAUGGCUGAGAUUCACUUCUUAUUUUUGGAUUUGGUUUUUUGAGUUGUUUUUGGAUCUAGAACAAUCUAGUUGGGUCUGAAUCUCAUAAUUUUAAGGUUUGUAUAGAAACUUUAGAUUGUUUACAUCGGUGAAAUGGUUUGAAAGUGAGACCUCAAAACGAUGGACUAUGUGGUUAGUGUUUGAAUGGCAAAAUGGCUUUUGAAAGUUUUGGAAGUUUGUCAAAUUUUAUAAUCCUUGUCUGGUGAAAAUAUUGUAAUAAAUAAGAUGCAAAUUUGCUACUUCCACAGAACAUGCACUUAAGAGUUUUGUGUAAAGAAAUGCUAAAGAUGAAGGGGAGAUGGUGGGAACUUAAAUCUCCUGAAUGAAAGUUGAUGCUGGUUUUGUAAUCGUUAAUUUUGAGUUAUAAGUUUCUCUAGCAUAUUUCUACUCUUGCCAUUGUGCUCAUUUAACCACUCUUUGGAGGGAUUCAAUUGUUGUCCUCUGUUUGGAAAUACAAUAAGAGGCAAAAAGAGCAAAGACCUUGUCCAAAUUCAAGAAUAUUUUGCAUGGUACAUAGAGGAGCAAGAUCAUUUUAACUGGAACAUAGAGAAGCAAGAGAACCACUGCGAACAGUUGAUAGAGCUCUCUAGAGGGUCCAAAAAUUGUAAAAUUGUUUUGGAAUGAACUAUUUUUGAGCUUUUACUCUAGGAAAAAGCCAUUAGAUUCAUGUAUUUUGGAAGAUGUAAAAGCAUGGCUAACUUGCCUUCUACCUUACCUAGGAACUUGCUGUUAUGUGAUGUUUUUGUGCACGAAUUUGGUUUGUUCUAUUUUACAUAUUUAAUUAAUCCAGAAA